rnacentral:lncRNA from 1 species
UUGAAAACAAUUCAUAAAACCCAAUCAUGCAUUCAUAAUGGGAUCAUCAACCAUUAUAUACAUACAUAGAUUAACAAAUGAAUCUUAAUAUUUCACAUCAAGUAUUCAUAUACACAUAAUUAGAGCUUGACCGUCAAUGGAGUAACUCUGGGCACGGUUGCUAAUGUUUAGUGUCAUGUUAAACCUACCGAGCAAUGGAUAGGGAAGAACACCUCGUCCUAAGAUCCAAUCACCUUUAACUCAGGAAACCUAAAACAUGAAUUUUAAAAACGUGAGUACAAACUCAGUGAGUGAACAUAGGAAGGGAACAACCAAAUGUUAAGGAAGGUUUAGAAAUCAUGAUGCAUUUAAGUUCCAAAAACAAUGCAAUUUAACUUAUUUCUUAUCAAAAAACCCCUCAUUCAAAUCCUUGUUGUUUAGUCACUUGAUGACGAAAGACCCAUGAACAACAAAGAAGUUGAAAAGUGAAAACUUUAGUAGAAUUCAAGCAAGUCAAGCAUAAUAGAUUGACUCUCACCACAGCGAAAAGGCAUUCACGUUGCAACGAAAUUCUAGCCAGAUAAAAUCCAAGGGCCUUUCACUGCCACCAGAAAAAUCCACUCAUGCAACAUUGUAUAUUAAAUUGAACACAUUGAUAAUACUUAAGUUUUCAACAGUCAAUGUAAUCACAUAUUAAAUCCAAACAUCUCUAUAUAGUAAAUAUGUAUAUAUAUAAGCACAUAAACCACCAUCUCACCCAGCUCAUGUUCAUCCCCCCACAUCGUGCACAUAGACGGACACCCCGUCUCACCCAACUCAUGUGCAUCCCCCCACAUCAUGCACAUAGCCAGACACCCCGUCUCACCAAACUCAUGUGCAUCCCCCCACAUCAUGCACAUAACCGGAGUCAUCGUGUGCAUCCCCCACCACUUAUAGCACAAGCAAUAUCAUCAUCGUGUGCAUCCCCCCACAUCGUGCACAGCUAAUGCCAUCAUGUGCAUCCUCCCACAUCGUGCACACGAGCAAUAUUACCAUCCAUCUCCCUCACCACCGUCAUCACCGACAAGUGCACACUCACCCCGCACAUGCAUGGUUGCAUUUUGUCACACAAUGUACCAUUUAUGACAUAGCAUAUAUAUAUAUAUCAAUAUUAUACAGAAAUACAUGGAUUCAUCACACUAUCCAUUUCAUAACAUAAAAACAUUUCAUAAGGGCUUGCUCCCGUGAGAGUUUUUGAAGAAAAACCAAUAAAACGUUUUAGGGGAUUCAAUCAAACAUAAAUGUGUAUAUCCCAAAACAUUUUAAUACAAGUUCACUUACAUUACGAUAGCGGGACAUUACAUUGUUAUUUGUUCAAAGGUGUAUCUAGCUAUUCCUACUUGCCGGUCACUCAUUAUUUCCCCCGACACACCACCACAGUACUCUAACUUUACCUUUGCACUUCCUAGCAACCAUACAAAUGCAAUACCUUUAGUAUACGUUAUUCCUACUUCUCUUUUUCCUUCCAACAUGAAUCUUUAUUCAACUAAUUUAUAUCUUGACACAUUUUUACCAAAGUUGCCUUUAUCCUUUACUUGCAUAAUUCUUUAGAUUAUAGAUAUAGACAACUUGUUUAUAACUCUAACACAUAUAUUAACCUUGUCUAAGGAUAUUUAUCAAGUUUAAACAUCAUUUCCACAAAAAUUAGCUAACAUAUGGCAGCAACUACAAAUUUACUUCCAUCAAACACUUUCUAAGUUUACAUAUAACAUUAUUCUCAUUUACAAGUUACCAUCAAGCAUAACAUAAAUAUCCAUUCAUACGCACCAACAUCCAUAACCCUUUUAAGCUUUUCCUAACAACACAUAUAUCCACACAAUUCAUUUCUUUUCCAAAUUUUCAAUUAAUAUAAUUACCUUCCAAUCAUACCCAUGACACCACAAUAACACUACAUAUUGCACACAAUCAUUCUCACCAUAGUAAACCAAUCAUAGGCUUCAAAUUAUAGCAUGAAGCUUACCACUUGGUUUUAACUUGGAUUUCACCCAACAAAGUUCAUAAUUCCCUCACAUCCAUGGCCACCAUAUCUGCAUGAAAAUGAUUCACUCAUUAUUUUUUCAAGGAUUUAACCAACCAUGAACCUAAAACACAAAAUCUUACCUUAGCUUGCUUGACUUACAAAACCAAGCUUUUUCUUCCUUACUCUCUUUUUCUUUCUUCUUCUCCUAGAGCUUAGAUGUGCUGGAAACUAGGGUUAAAAGCUUUAGGUUUAGUGCCCAAGAAGUUUGGAGAAGAAAGAAUUACGAAAAUAAAGGAAAUGAGAAGAAACAAGGAAAAUCACAUGAAAAAAAUUGAUUUUCAUGAACUUGACAUGAAAAUGGCAUUGAAAGCUUCAAGAAGGAGAAGAAAAUAUCUUGCU